AAUGAAUGAUGACAAUUUGUUUCGGUCCCAGAUGAAACAAUGAUUACUAUUUUCAAAUUCUGACAUU
rnacentral:snoRNA from 2 species